AGAACACUCAGCCUUGUAAUAUGUGUGAGAGCUGAUGCUCUCUGAGCAAUCGAGUGCUUAUUAUUAUUUCUCUUGGAUAGGUCACCUGGGAGUGGAGGAAUUUUUCAUUUUAAAUUAAAAAGAAAUCUUUUAUAAUGCUCAUUUCUGAAAGAAAAAACCCCUUCCCUCAUCAUGAAAGUAAUUAGAUGGAGGACACAUUGAAAGCAGUGAUUAGUUGUUAAUUUUUGAGCUGUUGGCCCUGACAGAGGGGUUUUUUGUCAAGGAUUUCUUUUAAAGGAUGCCUAUAGUCCAAGGUUACUUCUCAUUCAAUAGCAAUUACCAUGUGUCCAUUACAUGCUAGAGACUGCUUGAGGUGGAUGCAGUGGUCCCCAUCAGAGCGUGUGUCAAGUCAAAGUGCCAGCAGCUGUGUGAGCCACAGGAUAAUUGUUGCUAUCUGUUUCUUCUCUUUUCUAAGUCCCAGUAAGUGCUCUAGGGAGUAACUUCCCCCUUCCUUGAUGCAACUUGGAAGUGCUGCCCUCCAGUUUGCAUUUCAAGUUCUGUGUCACAAUUUGAGCAACAACCAAGGAGGAUAAUGGCUCAGAUGUUUGGCUCUGGCUGCGGUUAGAAAAGACAUUGUUUGUCUGAAGAGACAGGGGUGUGGUGAAAAUGCUCUGUGCCAGCCAAGUGAACCAAAACACUCUCUGAAUUACUACACAGGCUGGAAAAUAAAAUUUAACUGACAGAAGAUCUGGACCCAACCUGUGCUGAGAGACAGAGAGAAAAAGAAUACCAGGAAUUGCCAUGUACAGUUGGAGCACCUGCACUAUGAAAUUCACCCUGAAUGAAUGGACACUCAGAUGUCUUCACUUCCAGCAGAGAAGACACAACUCUCAGGCUGAAUUAGGCCAUUUGGAGAGGUUUACCAAAAUCUCCAUGGGUUACAGACACAAAACUCCUCUUUCACACUUGUCCGGACUGAGCACUUGACAGGCUGUCUCUGACAGAAGAAUACAGUUCAUCAAAAGUGUCUGCAGGUUGUCAAACUCAGUGAGAUUUGGGGACACUCAGAGGCUGUCAUGGCCAACAAGAAGAUUUUCUGUAGGGUUCUGCCAUCAUUCACCCUCAGGAAAUAAUCACU
ensembl:lncRNA